rnacentral:rRNA from 1 species
AAAACAUCUUUUCUUGUUAUUUAUUUGAGAUUUGACCUGCCCAAUGAUUUUAUUAAAUGGCCGCGGUAUUUUGACCGUGCAAAGGUAGCAUAAUCAUUAGUCUAUUAAUUGUGGGCUUGUAUGAAUGGUUUAACGAAAUAUUAACUGUCUCAUUUAAAUUUAUAUAAUUUGAAUUUUAAGUUAAAAUGCUUAAAUUUUUUUAUUGGACGAGAAGACCCUAUAGAUCUUUAUUAUAUAUUUUUUUAAUUUGGUUUUGAUUUAUAUUUUAUUAAGAUUUUGUAUUUUUUAGUUGGGGUGAUGUAAAGAUAUAAUUAACUCUUUAUUUUUAAUAACUAUUAUUUUUGGUUAAUGUGACUUUUUAUUAUUGUUAUAAGAUAUAGAUACCUUAGGGAUAACAGCGUAAUUCUUUUUGAGAGUUCAUAUCGACAAAGGAUAUUGCGACCUCGAUGUUGGAUUAAGAUUUUAAUUAGAUGCAGUAGUUUAAUUUAUAGGUCUGUUCGACCUUUAAAAUCUUACA